GUCUCAACAGUGUUCUGUAUAAUGGCAUGAGCACUUCCCUCUUUCUACUGCUAAUACCUCUCCCUAUACAACCAAGCAUUCUGCUAGCAUUUCCUGCUGCUCUGUUACAUUGUCUGCCUACCUUUAAGUCAUCAGAAAUAAUCACCCCUAAAUCCCUUUCCUCAUAUGUUGAGGUUAGAACUCUAUCAAAUAUUCUGUACUCUGCUCUUGGGUUUUUACGUCCAAGAUGCAUUAUCUUGC